UGCAAGUCGAGGGGUAGAGGAAGCUUGCUUCCUUGAGACCGGCGCACGGGUGCGUAACGCGUAUGCAAUCUACCUUAUACAGAGGGAUAGCCCAGAGAAAUUUGGAUUAAUACCUCAUAGUAUUAUGAAAUCGCAUGGUUUUAUAAUUAAAGUUCCAACGGUAUAAGAUGAGCAUGCGUCCCAUUAGUUAGUUGGUAAGGUAACGGCUUACCAAGACAAUGAUGGGUAGGGGUCCUGAGAGGGAGAUCCCCCACACUGGUACUGAGACACGGACCAGACUCCUACGGGAGGCAGCAGUGAGGAAUAUUGGUCAAUGGACGCAAGUCUGAACCAGCCAUGCCGCGUGCAGGAUGACGGUCCUAUGGAUUGUAAACUGCUUUUAUACAGGAAGAAACACUCGGACGUGUCCGAGCUUGACGGUACUGUAGGAAUAAGGAUCGGCUAACUCCGUGCCAGCAGCUGCGGUAAUACGGAGGAUCCAAGCGUUAUCCGGAAUCAUUGGGUUUAAAGGGUCCGUAGGCGGUUUAAUAAGUCAGUGGUGAAAGCCCAUCGCUUAACGAUGGAACGGCCAUUGAUACUGUUAGACUUGAAUUAGUGGGAAGUAACUAGAAUAUGUAGUGUAGCGGUGAAAUGCUUAGAUAUUACAUGGAAUACCAAUUGCGAAGGCAGGUUACUAUCACUAUAUUGACGCUGAUGGACG
rnacentral:rRNA from 1 species